UACCAGCACCCCGAGUGGUCGGGACGUUUAUUGGGCCUAAAGCAUCCGUAGCCGGUUCUACAAGUCUUCCGUUAAAUCCAACUGCUUAACAGGUGGGCUGCGGAAGAUACUAUAGAGCUAGGAGGCGGGAGAGGCAAGCGGUACUCGAUGGGUAGGGGUAAAAUCCGUUGAUCCAUUGAAGACCACCAGUGGCGAAGGCGGCUUGCCAGAACGCGCUCGACGGUGAGGGAUGAAAGCUGGGGGAGCGAAUGGG
rnacentral:rRNA from 1 species